AUGCGCAUGGAGGGUGGAGGCGCCGGGGCAGGAGGAGGAGGUCACGGCGGCGGCCAUGGCCUCGGCGGCGAGGCGCAGAUCAAGGGCACGCUCACCCACGGCGGCAGGUACGUGCAGUACAACGUCUACGGCAACCUCUUUGAGGUCUCUGCUAAGUACGUCCCACCCAUCCGACCUGUCGGCCGCGGCGCCUGCGGCAUCAUCUGCGCUGCUGUAAAUGCACAGACUCGUGAGGAGGUCGCUAUCAAAAAGAUAGGUAAUGCGUUUGACAACCAGAUCGAUGCCAAACGCACUUUGCGAGAAGUAAAGCUGCUUCGCCACAUGAAUCAUGAGAAUGUGAUUUCAAUAAAGGACAUCAUACGCCCACCAAGGCGGGAGAACUUCAACGAUGUUUACAUCGUCUAUGAACUGAUGGACACUGAUCUUCACCACCUUCUAAGAUCAAACCAGCCACUCACGGAUGAUCACUGUCAGUAUUUUCUCUACCAAGUGCUCCGAGGAUUGAAGUAUGUGCAUUCAGCAAAGGUCUUGCACCGGGACCUCAGACCGAGCAACCUGCUGCUCAAUGCUAAGUGUGAACUCAAGAUUGGAGAUUUUGGCUUGGCUAGGACCACGACUGAGACUGACUUCAUGAUGGAGUAUGUUGUUACUCGGUGGUACAGGGCACCGGAGCUCCUGCUCAACUGCUCGGAGUACACUGCAGCAAUUGAUAUCUGGUCAGUGGGUUGCAUCCUCGGUGAGAUUGCUAUGAGGGAGCCACUGUUUCCUGGAAAAGAUUAUGUUCAUCAGCUGAGGCUAAUUACUGAGCUGAUAGGCUCACCAGAUGACACGAGCCUUGGGUUUCUUCGAAGUGAUAAUGCCCGCAGAUACGUGAGGUCUCUUCCUCAAUACCCGAAACAGCAUUUUGGUUCACGGUUCCCCAGUAUGUCCACUGGCGCCAUGGAUUUGCUUGAGAGGAUGCUCGUAUUUGAUCCGAGCAAGAGGAUUACUGUUGAUGAGGCUCUAUGCCAUCCUUAUUUAGCAUCCCUUCAUGAGAUAAAUGAUGAACCUGUCUGCCCAGCGCCUUUCAGCUUCGACUUCGAACAGCCAUCAUUUACUGAGGAAGAUAUCAAAGAACUCAUUUGGAGGGAGGCUCUCAAGUUCAACCCUGAACCAAUUCACUGA
rnacentral:rRNA from 1 species